rnacentral:rRNA from 1 species
UACGUAGGGGGCAAGCGUUGUCCGGAUUUAUUGGGUGUAAAGGGUUCGUAAGCGGUGUGGCAAGUCGGGAGUGAAAUCUCUGGGCUUAACCCAGAGACUGCUUCCGAAACUGCUGUGCUUGAGUGUGGGAGAGGCGCGUGGAAUUGCAGGUGUAGCGGUGAAAUGCGUAGAUAUCAGGAGGAACACCAAUGGCGAAGGCAGCUCGCUGGGGCGGUACUGACGCUGAGGCGCGAAAGCGUGGGGAGCAAACAGG